CAGUAGCCACGGUAAUACGUAGGGCGCAAGCGUUAUCCGGAAUUAUUGGGCGUAAAGAGCUCGUAGGCGGUUUGUCGCGUCUGCCGUGAAAGUCCGGGGCUCAACCCCGGAUCUGCGGUGGGUACGGGCAGACUAGAGUGAUGUAGGGGAGACUGGAAUUCCUGGUGUAGCGGUGAAAUGCGCAGAUAUCAGGAGGAACACCGAUGGCGAAGGCAGGUCUCUGGGCAUUAACUGACGCUGAGGAGCGAAAGCAUGGGGAGCGAACAGGAUUAGAGACCCCAGUAGUCCCUGUCUCUUAUAC
rnacentral:rRNA from 1 species